rnacentral:rRNA from 1 species
AGAGUUCGAUUCUGGCUCAGGAUGAACGCUGGCGGCGUGCAUAACACAUUCAAGUCGAACGGACUGAUUCGAUAGCUUGCUAUUGAAGAAAGUUAGUGGCGGACGGGUGAGUAACGCGUGAGCAACCUGCCUUUCUGAGGGGGAUAACACAGGGAAACUUGUGCUAAUACCGCAUGAAGCAUACGAACAGCAUUGUAAGUAUGUCAAAGGAGCAAUCCGCAGAAAGAUGGGCUCGCGUCUGAUUAGAUAGUUGGUGAGGUAACGGCUCACCAAGUCGACGAUCAGUAGCCGGACUGAGAGGUUGAACGGCCACAUUGGAACUGAGAUACGGUCCAG